rnacentral:sRNA from 1 species
CGGUAGAGCGGAGGUGUCUUGUACGAUAGGUCCGCGGUUCGAUUCCCGGCUGUCCCACUGAGGAGAAUAUUACCU